UACGGGGGGAGCAAGCGUUGUUCGGAUUUACUGGGCGUAAAGAGCGUGUAGGCGGCCACGCAGGUCCGUUGUGAAAACUGGAGGCUCAACCUCCAGCUGUCGACGGAAACCGUGUGGCUAGAGUCCGGAAGAGGAGAGUGGAAUUCCUGGUGUAGCGGUGAAAUGCGCAGAUAUCAGGAAGAACACCAAUGGCGAAGGCAGCUCUCUGGGACGGUACUGACGCUGAGACGCGAAAGCGUGGGGAGCGAACAGG
rnacentral:rRNA from 1 species